UUACACUCCCAAGUCUCCAACCGACGAAACCCCUCGCGCGCGCUCUCUCUCUCUCUCUCCGUCUCCCGGCGCCCCCGACGCUUGGAUGGCUCCGAUCCAGUUGAAGCAAUCGCCGAGUUCCGCCCAAACCCUAACGCGGGGCGGGGCGACGGAGGCGAGGGCGGUGGUCAGGGAGUCGGUGCGGACGACGGCCGCUGCGACGCUCGCCGCGCCGCCUGUCGUGCCUUCUCUGCAUCCGCCGGCGGCGGAUCAGAUCCAGGCGGAGGUGAGGUUCGGGCCGGCCGUGGAUGGGCUCGCGGUGCACGCCGCCGCGGCCUCGUCUAGGAUCUUGUGCUGCGAGGAGAUCGAUGGGCGGCGGUGGAAUUAUGUGGUGGAUGUGGAAGCGACCGGGACGGUCCGGAGGGGUUCGUCGGCGGUGAAGGCGGUUUCGCUGCAGACGCCGGCGGCGCCUGUGGAGGAAUUGAUCUCAUUCAUAAGAUCGUAUGUAGUCCCUGAAGGCUUUCCAGAUAGCGUUACCCCUUCAUACGUUCCAUACAUGACAUGGCGAGCUUUGAAGCAUUUCUUUGGUGGAGCUAUGGGUGUUUUCACAACACAGACACUGUUGAGUUCUGUUGGAGUAUCUAGAAAUAGGGCCACACCAGGUGCUGUUGCUAUUAAUUGGAUACUUAAGGAUGGAGCUGGGCGUGUUGGCAAAAUGCUUUUUGCACGGCAAGGAAAGAAAUUUGACUAUGAUCUAAAGCAGCUUCGCUUCGCGGGUGAUCUUUUAAUGGAAUUGGGUGCUGGGGUAGAGUUAGCAACUUCUGCUGUUCCACAUCUUUUCUUACCAUUGGCUUGUGCAGCCAAUGUGGCAAAGAAUGUUGCUGCUGUGACUUCGACAUCAACACGCACUCCAAUUUACAAAGCUUAUGCAAAAGGAGAAAAUAUUGGUGAUGUCACUGCUAAAGGAGAAUGUGUUGGCAAUAUCGCAGAUCUGUUGGGGACUGGACUGAGUAUCUUGAUUUCGAAAAGAAACCCAUCCUUGCUUGCUUCAUUUGCCUUCCUGUCAUGUGGAUAUGUCCUUAGUUCAUAUCAGGAGGUGAAGUCAGUUGUUUUGAACACUCUAAAUAGAGCGAGAUUCACCGUGGCAGUGGAAUCUUUCAUUAAGACUGGGCAAGUUCCCUCACUGAAGGAAGGGAAUUCAAAGGAAAAUAUAUUCAGUCCUCCAUGGUUAAAACAUACACCUGUCAUUAUAGGUCCAAGAUUUGGGGAUGCAUUUCAGGAUCCUGCUUCAUUUCUUGCCACACAGUGCUUGUUUGAGAAAGAACGAUAUAUAGUCACCUAUAACCCAUCAAAGGAUAAAAUUUAUGCAUUGCUUAAGGAUCAAGCAAAGUCUGAGGAUAUUUUGAAAGCAGCUUUCCAUGCUCAUGUUCUUUUAUAUUUUGUUCGUUUAUCAAAUGUCAAUCGAUCUCUGAGAAACCGCAACAAGUAUGACCAUUCAAAACUAGAAUCCCCAAUUCCUACAAACGCUGACUUUGUGGCUCAUGUUGCGGAGUCCUGCAACAUUGUUUCGUCUUCAUAUGGGGUUUUCAAGAGGAAGGCAGCAGAACAGGGAUGGAUAAUGUCAGAUUCAUUGCUUAACCCUGGACGAGCGCGGCUUUGUGAACUUAAAGAGGCAUAAUUUUCUGAUCAUCUCAGUUCACAAUAGUUAUGAGAGCUCAGUUUUGGUCUCUUGAUUUUAGAUUGUGCAGUUGAGACCGAGGUGAAUAUGGUUAUUCCAUGUUAUUUCAUACUGUAAACCAGCACUCAUUAGCCAGCAGAUAAUGGCUUCUCCACAAUUAUUCCUUGUGUUCGCACCGUACUGCAACACUCUUUUAGACUUUGUAGAUCUAUCCCAUCAUGAAAUGGCAGGAGUUUUAUCUUUGUUCAGCUUCAGCUGACCCUUCCUACAAGAAAUGAAGCAUGAUUUACUGACAACGAUUUUGUACAAUAAGUUUCCAGAGUUAACCAGUUUGUAUUGUCAAUGGAGAGUACUGCUUGAAAAAACUGACUGGGUACAGGGCAAUGUAAAACAGUUAGUGAAAGCUAAAUGGAGGAGCAAGUAGAGCUUUCCCGGUGGCAUGAAGGCAUUACAUAGGCAGGCUGUGCCUUUUCUCUUCGAUUUCUUUUUUCGUUUUUCUAUUUUUCGUUCAAAUAACUUAUAUUCAGUUAUUUGAAAGUGGGAGUCAUUAAUAAGAUAUAAUGUUUAGCUUCCUGAUAUGUACAUUUUUUUUCUUAAAAAAAUUCUGUUGCAGACUUCUUUGGCCCUUAUGAUAAUUUAAUGAAUUCACUUCUUGAUUUAAAAGUAUAUUUUCACUCUA